UAUUUUUGAUGUGUACAUCUCAUAUGGCCACUAUUCCUUGUAUUAGUCAGGUGGUAGAAAACAUGCAUCCUCUUCAACUGUGGCCUUAAGGGAGUUGAAAUCCGUACUGUCCAUAUGCCAGGAGAGUAUCCUUGUAACCAGAUUUACAGGCUUUUCCUAUUAAGUCUGAGACACAGUAGAGCCACAUAUUCAAGCUGAUUGGGCCAGACAGAGCACAGUUAAGAUGUUAAUGUAGAGGAAGGAAGACCUAAUUUCUGCCCUCAUUGACAUUGUACAGUCAGUGGAUAUAUUACAUAUAAUCAAUUCACUGGAUAUGUUAGAUAUAAUCAAUAUACUUAUGUUUACAUAAAAUUUGGGGAGUCAUGAGAAGCAAAACUCAAGUGUUACUUCUGAGCAGACCAGGGAUUAUUCUUACCAUAGUUUAGAACAUCUGUACAUUUUUUAACUGUUUCACUGGAUGUGGCCAGAGGUCAUUUCAGAAGGGAGAUUGUAACUCCAAAUUCUUGUUUGCUUGUUCUCUGCUUUCAUCCAUGAUUCAAUUCAGUUAAUUUAUCUUUGUCUUAAACAUAAUGACUUUUAUUUCUCAUUUAGCAUGAGUAGUGUGGAACAUGUUUCAUCCUUAAUAUUUAAUUAAAAAAACUGGACAACUCUGGCAUGCCUUUUGUGGGGUUGCAGGGUCGAGAGGUAACAAGACAGCUUCCCUUGUCAUCUAAAAUGAAAACUGUAUUUUCAUAGUUUACAUUCCAGUAUUUUGUUUUGUGUUUUUUUAGAAUCAAUGAAAUCGUAAUAUUAACUUACAGCUUCCUGUGGGGUUUGUCAGGCAUCUUUAAUCUAAAGAAAGAAUCACUGCAUAUUUAAUAGAUUAUUAACACAAGAACAACGCUUUAUAACUGGCUACUUCACCCUUGCCCUGAACUUCCUGUGCAGAGCUUACUGUGAUUGAUUUUACAGAAGUCCUGAGUUUGCUCCUGUUAUCUCUGUGGGCAGUCCUGUUCUUUACCAUCUUUAGGGAAAAAACAACAACUAUGCAGAAAAGGGAGAGGAAGGCAAACACCUCCCAUUUUGUUUGUGUUUUUUUAAAGAAAAAGAAGAAGCAGUUCCACUUCCGUGCAUUCCUUCCAGCUCCAGCCACCUCUGCAAAGGCCCCUACAGUGGAGAUACAUCUGUCUGGCUGUCAGCCCCCUUUCAUGGCCAGCUGGCUAGUGAUGUCCACACACAGGGCAGACCACACAUAGGGGUUGAUGUCAAACAGGGCAGUUGCAAAGGACUGUCACUACUGUGUGUUGGCACAAAAGUCUGUGUCUCCUAUUUCUGUCACACAAAGCUUAAUCCUUUUCUCGUUUGUAUGCUAGCACUCCAUCCUUUCCUUUAGAGAUAGUUCAGACAUUACUAAGAUAGCAGAUGAAACACAGGUAGCUUUUCUCAGAGAAGUAAUGACUCUUGUGUUCAUGUCUUAUCUGGCAGAUUCUCUUUUCUUUUUUUUUUUUUUUUUAAAUUGUUUCAGUAGCAGAUAGCUUCCCCCAUUCACCAUCCCUGCCAUGACAGACCUCAUGUUUCCAUUCUGGACUGUAAUCACUCACACAGUGAGGGAGGAAACUGUAGAUGACUGAGCAUUCUUUAUUCAGUGGAAAAUGCUGGAAGGGGCUGUCUGCGGGUCAGAUGGGUGACUUGGAAUGAAUCACAGAGGAGAGAGUGAACAGUUAGUUUGGGGUCAUCUUUAUUCUACCUCCCUUGUCUCUUUUCUUUAGUUUUCCAGUCUUACUGAAGUUAGAUCUUUCAAGAUCUUUCCUGAGAGCAAAAUGAGGCAAAGAAAGCAUAUCUCUCUCAUUUUUUUCCUAGUUGCCAGCCAAAAGGUAGUCAGACUUCAGCACUUGUGGAACCGUGAGGAGUCCUCUCUGCUUCUGUGCUAGUGCCUGCUCAUCUUGGUGAAAUGCCUCCUACAUUUCUACCUUUGUAGAAAGGAGAAGCUAUCUGAAAUUCUCUGCAAACUGACAUAAACCCAAAGCAUCUUCCUGGAGAGGGAAGAGGUUUGUGAUAGCGGGAGAGUUAUGGAGCUGACUCAUGCUGCAAAUCUGAGACUUCCCUGCAGCAACUAAUGAUAAGCUGGGGUACACAGUGUGCACUGCGGCUGCUCAGGAGACUUCAGCUUCACCUCCCCAUAGCCAUGGAGCCUGGCACAGGCUCUUCUUGGCUCAAGGGCACUGUUCCAGCCAGUAGUGCUUUGGCAGUCCAUCGUGGCAGUGUCACUGUCUUGCUGUUGCUCACUAUCCCAAGAAGUGGUAAGUCCUGCCCUUAACAAUCCUCUCUGCCGGAGCUGCUUUGCUGGUGCUCUGUGCUGUAAUGGGCAAUUGCAGCUGCACUGAGGUGCUGCUAACAUUGCUGCAAGAAGCAUUAACUUGGACUGAAACAUGUGCUGGUUGUUAAGGGUUAUGCCUUUUCCAGGGACUGCUGGCUGGCUCCUCUGAACAGAUAUCAAACUGCAGUGUAAAUAUGGAAGAAAUUCUGCAAACUCACCAGGAAUAUGGGGCAAAGCUCUCUCCCAUCUCAUCUGUGCUUUUGUCUUAUCUUUUUUUCCAGUUUGCAGAGCCCUUUGCUCCUUUUCUUGCUGUGUAGUAGAUAGGAACAUUUGGCUUUUUGCAAUCAAAGCAGCUAAGGGGGUCUCAGUGGGAUUAUUUUUACAUGUAAGCAUUGCACAAGUCCAGCUCCAGGAAAAGAGGCCAAUAUUUUCUUUAACACAUGCUGGUAUAAAAUAGGAACAACUCUUCUAAAAACUUAGAGAUUGAGAUGGCCUUGAAUUAGAUCCAAGGACCUCAGAUUAAUUACAAAACUAAAUCACAAUGAAUGUUCUUUUAUAGUUCUUUGACACAAUGGUCCCUGGACUAAGUGAACCUGGAUGUCAAAUAUAUAGAUAAGGAUGAUCUAUACUGAAGCAGAAUAAAGGGCACAUUUAUAUUACUGAAUUAAGGGUCUAUCCUUUGCUGGAUUCUGCUGUUACUUUACUGUAUUUGAACAAAUCGGAGAGCAAAAUCAGGUCUCUGCUACUGAGGAGAGAAGGUUGCAUGGCAUAUGCAGCUUGUUUCACUCAGUCUUGCUCCUUUGCCAGAAAUUCAUCUCUUCUCUCCCAAAAAUGGUGCUGUAAUGUUUCUUGCACUGCAGAAACUUACAGCACAUGCCACAAAGGUCAUCUAUCCUCCUGCUUUUUUAAAGGCUAUCAGGAUAGAGUCUCUAUUAACACUGUAAGUUUUAAGUUGCAGAGUAAGAACCCGAAUAAAUUGUAAAGAACUCCCAUUGCCUUUCACAAAGAGAUGAACAGUCCUUUCAUGCUUUACGUAACUGCAGCAUGCCUUGGAAACAAGGUUACAUCUAUUUCAGUCAUUAUGACUGAGACAGCUCAGGCAGCACUAACUGCAGGCAGAUUUCCAAGCAGAGAAAAGAGUUGGGGCCUGCAGCAUUUUGGGAAAGACAGUAUUUGGGAACGAGAGGAGCCCCAGGUCCUACACUUGCCAGGAGCCACACAUUCAUACAGACACCCAGUACUACUUGUAGGUUGAUUGGCACUGUCACCCGCCUGAGAGGAAGCAUCUCCUGCUGGCUUCCUACCAGCAUGCAGAGUCUCUAAUUUAGGAAAGCAAAGUACAGUCUUGCAUGCCAGUCCUGAAAAGCUACCAGUGCUGAUGUGGAAACAAGGACGGGCAAAUCUGUAAAGCUCUAGCCAAGAAUAAAAGCACACUUGCUUCUGAAUGGAAGCAAUUGCAGUGCAUAGUGACAUGGAGGGACUUUGUUCAGCCUGGAGGAAACUCAUGGAGAUCUGAUUGCUCCCUGCAGUUAGGAGGGCUGAGGAGUUGGAGCCAGGCUCUUACCGGAGGUGCACAGUGACAGGCAUGCAGUGGCACCAGUCACACACUGCAAUGAGAAACACCAGCUCGGUACAGCUGAUAAAAAUGUCACAGCCAGAGGGAUGCAGCAUGGGAACAUAUUUUCUAGGGAAGGUGAAGGGUCUCCAUCCUUGGAGGUACACAAAGUUUGACUGGACAAGGCCCUGAGCAAUCACUUUGAAGGUGUCCCUGCAGGGAGUGGAAUGUUGAAUGAGACAAGCUCCAUACCCACCCCAAUUUUUCUUUGAUUCCAGGUUGUUACUUAUGUUGUUUCCAACUAAAGUGACAAUGAAAAGUCAUUGCACUCUGUUUCCCUCUGCUUCCUUACUUUCAUAUUGGAAAUAGUAUUUUACUUCCACGAAACUUGUGUCCUUCAUUUUUAUUGCCUUUUUUAGUUCCAGAGUGAGCUUGAAGGUAUACAAGUCAUAAAGAAAAUACCAGUCUUUAGGAAGGCAAAUACUAGAAAAAACAUGGCAGGCCAGUAGUCCAAAUAUAACUAAUGUAACACUUUAAAUAAAAAAGGUUUCUUGAUGAGAGGGAUUGAAAUUAUAAAGUGAAUUGAAAUGUCAGUUUCUCCCUUCUAGGUGCCCAGAAAUAACUCCUUUUUCAUCUAAGUAAGCACCAUUAAGAGGAGCAAGAAUAAUGCCAUCUGGUUAUUCCCAAUCAUGUCCACACAAGCAUUUGCUUGAAAUGAUACAGAAUUGGCCCAGUCUUGACUUAUACAGAGCUUGUGGGCAUUUGCAACAUGAAGCUGAAUUUAAACAAUUAUAAUAGCCAUGCAGGUGGAAGGCAGUAUAGGAUAUGACAUCCUGGUUACAGACAUUGAGAGAUAGUUCAAUUUCCUAAAAUGUCAGUGAUGUCAAAAAAUUCUUCUAUAUAGCUACAACCACCUCUUUUCCCCUUAGACCUUUUGCCCUUAGAAAAGGCAAAGCUUUUCCAGUAGUAGUUCUGGAAACAUUCCAUUACCCUUCCUGCAGGCAAAGUUUUCUCCAUGUAUGGAUACAUGAGAAUGGUCAAAUAAUGAAUGAGCUGAUUGGCUGAACAUCUGCAGGUGCUCUAUAAUGACAACAAUUAAGCUAUUCUGAAGCUAUUACCAUAUUAAAUUAACUUACUGCACUGCUAUUAAUUAGAAUUCGUGUUCUAGAAAGGAAACAGAGCAGCAAUUACAUUGUUAUUUAAUGAGCUGUAAAAGUAAAAUAUAAAAAUGGGAAGUUUCCUCAUGUAAUUUAAGGCUGGAAGAUGGUGGGUCAAACUGUUCCCCAGUGUAACUCUAGCCACUUCUGUACUUUUGCAACAUGAAUGAUUAUAUACGUUACCUUUUGUCUUGAAAUAAUAAUUAUUUGCAUCUGAUAAUUAAAGCUCUUCAUCAGUUGUGCCAAAAACUAGAUAUUAGGCAAAGUUCAACUGUUCUCACUGUGAAGUCUGAAAUUUGAGAUGGUUUUGGGAAAAGACUCAGUAAGGUUUGUGACUGAAGUUGUCAGUUGAUUGCAGCCAUGCAUAUUUUACAGACAAGAUUUAGCAGUGAUUACUUUCUUGCAUAGCAUUUUAAGGCUCUUCUUUUACUUAUUUUCUAGCCCUCCACACCUUGUUAGAAGUAAAUAUAAGUGCUUUUGAGUUGUUAUUUGCUGUUGAAAUUCUCAAAUUCUGUGACGUAGUGAUUUCUUCAAGGUAUGUCCUUGAAAACUGAAACAGAUGUGUCCUGCCUAGCUCUCUGAGGAGUUAUAACAUCAGGACCUGUCUGUCCUUGGGCACAGAAGCCUUUGCAGCUGUGUGUUUCAUGAAGCAGGGGAGUUAUUUCCCGCAGUGUGCUCAAUAUGGACCAUGCUUGGAGCCCUUAAACAGAACUGUUAGGGUGGGCUUAAUAUGCCUGGCAGUCAGUCCAGUCAGGAAUGCCUGAAAUAGCCCUUGCUGAUUAUUUCGUAAUAAUGGACAAGUGGAACUCUGGAUUCCAUCCAGUUAUCAAUCACAGCACUGUGAAACAAAGUAAAGAGCCUUAACUGAAGCAACUGGAACACAGUGCAGACAGCACUAUGUGUUGCUAUCUGCAACAGCAAUAGGAACUGGGCUAGACAGGUCCUAUUGAUGAGCUACCUUCCAGUACACGCCAAGCCAACAGAGCAACCCACAAGUGUUGCUUUUGGCCUGAAAGAGCUCUGAGCCACAGCUUCUUCCAGCCCUCCUUGCUGAUGGACUGAGCUGUAGUGUUACAAAAGGGAUGGUUGUGAUGCACAUUACACUUCUAUAAUAUGUGGCCCUAGAUCCUGAUUGCUUGUCCAUACAUUUCCUAUUGCAUGCUUUUUAUGAAAAAAGCACAGCCAUGGCCCUGGCCCCGAGCAUUUUACAAAAAAUUUUCUGGAUGAGAAGCUACUAUACAUACCCUGGGAUCUUCCUUAACAAUGCCUAUUUUCAGACUGAUUUUCUUCCCCUGGUGAGAGAGGAGAAUCUGUGGGAUUUUAAUGAUUCAUUUUAUUGAGGGACCUGAAUGUUUAUUGUUGUUUUAACUAUAAAAAUGUACAGAGGCUGGAAUCUAUCCAGAGAAAAGAAAGCAAUUUCUUUUAUUUCCUUACACUGCGUGGUGCAGUUGCAGGCGAAUAUUUCCAUCUUUAUUACAAUAAGCAUUUUCCUAAGCAAGAGCGGGGCACAGAAGUCUGCAAGUUUGAAAUAAAACAGUAUGACAAUCAAAAGCUGGAGAUGAACGUUGAGAUGUCUUUUCUUAUUUGAUGUCGGUUCUUGGCUUUCUAAUCGUCUCUCUACCUAUGCAAUAAUAGUCAAAGCUGUUAAAAAGAAUAUCUGAGCAACUCAGAACUUCUUGGUUGUAGUCUCCUUUAUCGCUUUUCCAAGGAUUGAUGCAAGGACUCGGUGUAUUUAUUUUUAAUUUCAGUAAGUUAUUGCGUGUAUGUCUACGUGCUUAUGCGAAACUACAGAUAUAACUGACAUGCCCCAUAAGAAAUCCCAGGAAGGCAAUUUCUGUUUAAAUAUCAAACAUUUUUUAGCCUCAAGUGUUUUAAAUCAGGCUUGAUCCCUUUUGCCUCUUAACCAGACUGCAGUACCCCAUAAUUUUAGAAAGAGUUUCAUAUAUGUGAGCAGGGAAACAUAGUCUUGACAGCCUGUCCUAGUUGUCCUUCUAAACUUUUGAGGCAAGCUUUCAAGACUGCUUUCAGAGCAGGCGUAAUGUAAGAAAAGAAUUCAGGAGGCCCAUGAUUUAUGUCUCUCUUCUUGAAUAUAUAUAAAAAAGGAUGAUGGAGUGUUGCAAAAACAGAUUAAUGGAUUGUACCUGGAGCUUUGUGAUAGCAUUAUAAACAUUCUGAUAUGACCUUUUGCUUAGUUUCUGUUGCAACUUUUCCUGUAGACACUAUUGCAGCAGAAUAGUGAGAUAGAAAUUCCUUAGUGAGGCUCUCAUAUGUGGCUCAGUUUCCAAAACAAAUUGUGUUCUAUAUUAGUAUUAUUUUAAUUGUUAUUUCAUUAACAAUUGCA